rnacentral:rRNA from 1 species
CCUACGGGAGGCAGCAGUGAGGAAUAUUGCUCAAUGGACGAAAGUCUGAAGCAGCAACGCCGCGUGAGGGAUGAAGGUGCUCUGCAUUGUAAACCUCUGUAGUUGGGGAAAAAUGGCGGGUUACUACCCGUUUGAUGGUACCCAAAAAGUAAGGAUCGGCUAACUACGUGCCAGCAGCCGCGGUAAUACGUAGGAUCCAAGCGUUGUCCGGAUUUACUGGGUGUAAAGGGUGCGCAGGCGGACUGGUUAGUCAGGGGUGAAAUCCCGUCGCUUAACGACGGACCUGCCUUUGAUACUGCCAGUCUUGAAUUAGCGAGAGGUUCGUGGAAUUCCGAGUGUAGCAGUGAAAUGUGUAGAUAUUCGGAAGAACACCAGUGGCGAAGGCAGCGAACUGGCGCUAUAUUGACGCUCAGGCACGAAAGCAUGGGGAUCAAACAGGAUUAGAUACCCUAGUAGUC